AGAGAUUACUGCUAUCGGAUAUCGAUUAAGCCAUGCGAGUCGAGAGCUUUAGGAGCUCGGCGAAAUGCUCAGUAACACGUGGACAACUUACCCUAAGGACAGAGAUAACUCUGAGAAAUCGGAAAUAAUACCUGAUAGAUCAUUAUGGUUGGAAUACUUUUUGAUCAAAAGGCAAUUUAUUUAUUUGAAAUGUUCCGCCUCAGGAUAGGUCUGCGGCCGAUUAGGUUGUUGUUGGUGUAACGGACCAACAAGCCAAUUAUCGGUACGGGUUGUGAGAGCAAGAGCCCGGAGAUGGUUUCUGAGACAAGAAUCCAGGCCCUACGGGGUGCAGCAGGCGCGAAAACUUUACAAUGCGAGAAAUCGCGAUAAGGGAAAUCCGAGUGUCAGCACAUGUGCUGACUGUCCAGGAGUCUAAAACACUUCUGAUAGCAAGUACCGGGCAAGACCGGUGCCAGCCGCCGCGGUAAUACCGGCGGUACGAGUGGUAAUCACUAUUAUUGGGUUUAAAGAGUCCGUAGCCGGUUUAUUAAAUCCCAUGGGAAAUCUGAUGGCUUAACCAUCAGGCGUCUAUGGGAGACUGGUAAACUUGGGACCGGGGGAGGAUGGAGGUACUUCAGGGGUAGGAGUGAAAUCUUGUAAUCCUUGGAGGACCAUCGGUGGCGAAGGCGUCCAUCUAUAACGGAUCCGACGGUGAGGGACGAAAGCUAGGGUCACGAACCGGAUUAGAUACCCGGGUAGUCCUAGCCGUAAACGAUGCAGACUAAGUGUCAGAUACAGUGCGACUGUAUCUGGUGCCGUAGGGAAACCGUAAAGUCUGCCACCUGGGAAGUACGACCGCAAGGUUGAAACUUAAAGGAAUUGGCGGGGGAGCACUACAACGGGUGGAGCCUGCGGUUUAAUUGGAUUCAACGCCGGAAACCUUACCGAGAGCGACAGCAGAAUGAAGGUCAGGCUAAAGACCUUACUUAACUAGCUGAGAGGAGGUGCAUGGCCGUCGUCAGUUCGUACUGUGAAGCAUCCUGUUAAGUCAGGCAACGAGCGAGACCCGUGCCCAUAGUUGCCAGCAAUCCCUCCGGGGAGUUGGGUACACUGUGGGGACCGCUGGUGCUAAAUCAGAGGAAGGAACGGGCAACGGUAGGUCAGUAUGCCCCGAAUCUCUCGGGAUACACGCGUGCUACAAUGGCUGGGACAAUGGGCUUCGACCUCGAAAGAGGAAGAUAAUCUCUUAAACCCAGUCUAAGUUCGGAUUGAGGGCUGCAACUCGCCCUCAUGAAGCUGGAAUCCGUAGUAAUCGCGCGUCAACAUCGCGCGGUGAAUACGUCCCUGCUCCUUGCACACACCGCCCGUCAAACCACCCGAGUGGGGUUUCAGUGAGGCCGUGUCUUUUAACACGGUCGAACUGGGGUUCCGCAAGGGGGGUU
rnacentral:rRNA from 1 species